UUCCGGUUGAUCCUGCCGGAAGCCAUUGCUAUCGGAGUUCGAUUUAGCCAUGCUAGUCGCACGGGUUUAGACCCGUGGCGAAAAGCUCAGUAACACGUGGCCAAACUACCCUAUGGAUCAGAAUAACCUCGGGAAACUGAGGACAAUUCUGAAUACCGCUCCUGCACUGGGAUGUGCGGAGCUCGAAACGCUACGGCGCCAUAGGAUGUGGCUGCGGCCGAUUAGGUUGGCGGUGGGGUAACGGCCCACCGUGCCCAUAAUCGGUACGGGUUGUGAGAGCAAGAGCCCGGAGACGGUAUCUGAGACAAGAUACCGGGCCCUACGGGGCGCAGCAGGCGCGAAACCUUUACACUGCACGACAGUGCGAUAAGGGAACUCCGAGUGCGAGGGCAUAGAGCCCUCGCUUUUGUACACCGUAAGGUGGUGCACGAAUAAGGGCUGGACAAGACCGGAGCCAGCCGCCGCGGUAAUACCGGCAGCCCAAGUGAUGGCCGAUAUUAUUGGGCCUAAAGCGUCCGUAGCUGGCCGGACAAGUCCGUUGGGAAAUCCGCGCGCUCAACGCGCGGGCGUCCAGCGGAAACUGUCCGGCUUGGGGCCGGAAGACCUGAGGGGUACGUCCGGGGUAGGAGUGAAAUCCUGUAAUCUCGGACGGACCGCCUGUGGCGAAAGCGCCUCAGGAAGACGGACCCGACAGUGAGGGACGAAAGCCAGGGUCUCGAACCGGAUUAGAUACCCGGGUAGUCCUGGCUGUAAACGAUGUCCGCUAGGUGUGACGCAGGCUACGGGCCUGCGCUGUGCCGUAGGGAAGCCGUGAAGCGGACCGCCUGGGAGGUACGUCUGCAAGGAUGAAACUUAAAGGAAUUGGCGGGGGAGCACUACAACCGGAGGAGCCUGCGGUUUAAUUGGAUUCAACGCCGGA
rnacentral:rRNA from 1 species